rnacentral:lncRNA from 1 species
CUGAGAGCAACAUAAAUGAGGACCCUGGCCUCGAAGUAAGCUAGUGAUAAAAGCGAGGAUUUAAAAAAAUUACAUGGAGAAUGAGCCUCAGAACAAAAGGCAUGGCUUGACAAGCAGCGGCAUGUCCACACCCGGGAUCUGAACCGGCGAACCCAGGCUGCCAAGAAGUGGAACGUGUGCACUUAACUGCUGUGACACCAGGCCGGCCCCUAAAGACCAAAUUCUUAUCCAUGAUACUGAAUUCUUAUGCAAGCUCUGAAAGCUCCAGAAUCAUCUCAGAUUUCCAAAGAGGAAUGGAGUUUCUAGUUUGAAACUCCUCAGUGAAGAUGGUCCAGUGACUUGAUUGCUUUUGUAGACUACACUGAAAUUUCCACUUUGUUCCUCGAGUCUAAGUAAAUGUCAGAAAUACUGAAAAGGUUGAAACUGACAUGUUUCUAUCAACGAGGUCAUACUGAUUGGAUGUAGUGGGAUAAGAUGGGCUCAGAAAUCACUCACCCUCCAGGUUUUCUGAAGAGAAAAAUCAUCAAAAAGCGUGGAAGGACACCGUGACUCGUUUUCCUCAGUUACUCACGCCAAGCAGGGACCCUCUUGGUCUGGCUGCCACACCCGCAGUAGAUGUAUUCACGUGGCGUUAGAAGGCUGUUCUUGGCUGUUACACACACUGCCUGGGGCUUUAGAUGAGAAGCUUGACUUUGGAAAUUCAGUCGCACAAUAGGAUACAUGGAAAGCGUGCCUCUCCUGUAUCUACUAUAAUUCUCUGCUUAUUGCUCCUGGAGAGACACACAGGUUGCACUGUUCCUGUCACAUCUGUCUUAAAAGAAUGGUUGGCAGACGUAAGUGGUAAAAUAGUCAAGAUGGAUUCGGAUGAAGCAAACUGCAGAGCCAUAUUUUGUUUGAUGGAAACAGAAGGAAGUUGGUUCCCUUCUCCUUACAUUGAGGCUUCAUCUAAGUGCUCUAACAUCCUUGUUUUCACCUUCUUUCCCCAGCUGCUGUGAGGGUUGGGUUCCUACCGAGAGGAGCAUAACAAAAGGAGAAGGAGUCUUGUUUUUCCAGGAGAACGAGGAAAGGGAAAUAAGACGGUGAGUCAGCGGGCCAGCAGGCGUCCGCUGCACGUGGAACACAGCACUGCUCACUUCCCCCUCCACCUGGUGUUCUGGCUGCCCCUGGAUUAGCUCCUAUUGCUGCUUACACGGCAACAGGCUCGAGAGAGAGCUUCCAGGUUCACCACCCUCACCCCCAACCUCCUGAGAAAUGUCAGAAACUGCAUGAGGGACAUAGGGACCAGAAGCAUGGAGCUCCCCCUGCCUAGGGCCCCAUAAUGAUGCAGCAGAAAAGAGGAUAGGGGCCUUUGAGUUAGGGAGGGAAGAAGCGUUACCUAAUAGUGAUGCAUUAAAAUAACAGAGUUAAGGGUAGAUUCCUGCUGCCAAUACAGAAUUAAACUGGUCGGGGUUAAACAGGAUAGAGGGAAAUGGAGGAAACUAGCCAAGAGACAAGAGGAAUUAUCCAUAGUUACUCAGUGUAAUUGCAUUUAUACAGUUGGGGGGCCUGCCACUGAGCCAUGGGGGAUACCUCCACUCAGCCUUUCUCAGCUGAACACAGAAAAUGAUUUGGGUGACUAUUUUCUCAGUUUUCUUAAGGAUGAUACAGAACAUUCUAGAUGCAUAAGAGAGAAGUUAAUUUCUGACGUACUAUAGAUGGCUUAGGGCGUUAGAACUCAAUUCCCUCUGGUUAAGAGAGUCCCCAUUGUUCUUGGCACCACAUAUGUCAAAGAUGGGGAUAGUACUAUGGACAGCCCACCCUGGGGAAUGCCUGUUUGGUCAAGGAGUAGGGUAUGUUUUCCUUAUUCCCUUGACCCAGGGCAGGUUUUGGAGUUCAUAUAACUGAGAAUUGCCUUUCAUUCAUUCACUCAACAAAUAACUAUUAGUCUCUUGCUCUUUUCUAGUUACUAUGGCAAGAACAAAGAAUAUAAUGGUGAACAAGAAACAGAUAAAAACAAAUAAGUGAUGACCCAUGCUAUGUUGGAGAAAACCUCCAAGGGGCCAGGACAGAAAGAAAGAUGAGGGAUUUGGGAGCAUGGAUGGUGGGUGUGUUCGGGGGUAGGCAUACCUUGAAGAAGGAGGUUACUAAGCACGCACAAAUUGAUGCUGGCCCUCAUAUCAGUUCCCCUACAUUAAACCCAGCAUACAUGGGGUGAAAACCAAAGCAUUCAUUCCCUGCUUACUCCUUGGCUUCCUGGCUCCAGAAUGCACUAUCCGCCACGGAGGCAAACAGCCAAGGUGACCCACCUGCAAAUUCUCUUAUCAUCCUCCUCUCUAUAAACAACCUCCCAAGGCUGAAUGCAGGCUGGUGGGAAAGUUCCGACCAGCAAGGCCCCUGAUUCUCCCCGACUCCUCUACAAGCAGCCACAUUCCUCAGAAACCUUUAAAACCCCUGGCCUCCCAUCUUUUGGGGAGCCAGACGAAACAAAACUAAUUUGAGGGCUCACUCUCAUCUCUCAGCUGAUAACAUCCUAAAUAAAAACCCUUUCUUUGC